GGUGUCCCUAGCCUCUAAAUGCUGGGACUAGACAACAGGGGAGGAAUCAUUCAAUAAUUGUCCUGUUCUGUUCAUUCCCUCUGAAGCAUCUGGCACUGGCCAGUGUUAGAAGA